rnacentral:misc_RNA from 1 species
AAUAAUAAUAAUAAUAAUAAUAAAUAAAUAAAUAAAUAAAAAUACCCAUUCCAUCACACCAAAAGUCCAAUUGUAUGAUGGCCUUGCUGCAGUAACUUUUAGGCAUCCAUAUACAGUGACCACAUAAAUUAGCUACAGUAAUUUUUAGUCACCCAUAUAAGUAACAAGUCCAUGUAAUCAGGCUGAAGCAUCUUCAUAGCUUAAUUCAUGUUCUCAUCAUUCAUAGUUAGCUUCAUCUAAAGACCUCGUGAAACCAAUAGUUUGCCGGGAUAACCAAAUGACUACUAUAGAAAGCAAUUCUUUCAAUAGUCAACACAUUCGCCUUCAAAGCGAAAGUUCAUUUUACAACCAGCAAAUUAAACAUAUAGCAUUUGCAGAAUAUAACAAGAACACAAAAAAAAUAUAUAAUAAAAUAAUAAAUAAAACAUGACCUCAAAGCCAAGCUAAAUUUUUAAACAAGUCCUAAAGAAUGCAAAACAAAUCCAAGCCACAAAAAUUUACAACACUAUAUUUCAAUUCCAUAACCAUCCCCCACCCUGCAUCGACCCCAACUACCAUUUGAAAAAAAAAAAUCCGUUGGGGAUCACCAACAAUGAAAUACACCUUAAAGAAUAACAGAUCAUGUUGGGCAUUUGAGAAACAUAGUUUGUUCCUCAAUUAAAUAAGCUCUUCAUUACAGCAAGUUAAUUAAUAUAAGACUCAAUCUUCACCAACAUAGGUAAAACUUAGCAAGAGAGAAAAGUAUUCCAAUCUAUUCAUGAUUAAAUAAACAUUUACAUUUUUGGGAAUUAAAAACGACAACUUCUCAGCGGGAAUGUACAUACAUAUACGAAAAACCAUUUUACAAAUAGACGGAUCAAGAUCAAUUUUAAAAAUCAAAAGAAAAGGGUACGUAG